rnacentral:rRNA from 1 species
UACGAAGGGUGCAAGCGUUAAUCGGAAUUACUGGGCGUAAAGGGUGCGUAGGCGGUUCGUUAAGUCUGUCGUGAAAUCCCCGGGCUCAACCUGGGAAUGGCGAUGGAUACUGGCGAGCUAGAGUGUGUCAGAGGAAGGUGGAAUUCCCGGUGUAGCGGUGAAAUGCGUAGAGAUCGGGAGGAACACCAGUGGCGAAGGCGGCCUUCUGGACCAGCACUGACACUCAAGCACGAAAGCGUGGGGAGCAAACAGG